rnacentral:misc_RNA from 1 species
AAAAAUUCAAGUACCGCAUGAUACAUGAACAUUCAUCCACACGGGGAUAAAUUCUGCUGUUAAAAUGGGUUAACCAUGGAACAGAUAAAACUGAGGCCCCAAAUUGUCUUAAUACUAUUACAUUCUCCAGCAGAAGAAGACAACAUAUGUACCAAAAGUUACAGUGCCAACGUCAGAAACAACUAAAAAUAUCAACAUCCUACCAGCUCCAAUGGCAAUUUGAUGCUUUUUCCAAACUUCUAUACCUUAGGGCCCCAAAGUAAUAUUGUUCCUCAGGUGUGCAAAUAAUUGGCAGCCAUCAUCAAUUCCAAUGUGAUCUCAGGCUCAAUAUGGAAUUCUGUUUCCUUGCCACUUGCAUAUUGAAGGGACCAGUAAAAGUACUGGCAGAUCUUCUCAAGAAUGGUGGUGUUAAUCUCCGGGAAAGUCACUUGCCCAUGCUCUGUCUCAGCAAAACUCCCUGGAGAAGUGAGCAUGUUACGAAUAGUCUGAGAAACCAUAGCAGCCUUCUUAUCAAUGAUGAAUUCAAAACCUUCACGGCUGAUUAGCUUCACGGUAUCCUCCUUCUUCAUCUUCGCCGAUGGGUUAAUGCCGAAAAAUCAAUUGAUCAGUUUGCUUGUGGAAACGAUAAACGGAAAAGAUACACUCGUGCGUAGAUGAUAG